UGGAGGAAAGCAGGGGAUCGCAAGACCUUGCGCUUUUGGAGUGGCCGAUGCCUGAUUAGCUAGUUGGUGGGGUAAGAGCCUACCAAGGCGACGAUCAGUAGUUGGUCUGAGAGGACGACCAGCCCCACUGGGACUGAGACACGGCCCAGACUCCUACGGGAGGCAGCAGUGGGGAAUUUUGGACAAUGGGCGAAAGCCUGAUCCAGCAAUGCCGCGUGAGUGAAGAAGGCCUUCGGGUUGUAAAGCUCUUUCAGUCGAGAAGAAAAGGUCGCGACUAAUAAUCGCGACUCAUGACGGUAUCGACAGAAGAAGCACCGGCUAACUACGUGCCAGCAGCCGCGGUAAUACGUAGGGUGCGAGCGUUAAUCGGAAUUACUGGGCGUAAAGGGUGCGCAGGCGGCUUUGUAAGUCAGAUGUGA
rnacentral:rRNA from 1 species